GACGAACGCUGGCGGCGUGCUUAACACAUGCAAGUCGAACGAUGAAGCCUUUCGGGGUGGAUUAGUGGCGAACGGGUGAGUAACACGUGGGCAAUCUGCCCUGUACUUUGGGAUAAGCCUUGGAAACGGGGUCUAAUACCGGAUAUCACUUACCUCCGCAUGGGGUUUGUUGAAAGUUCUGGCGGUACAGGAUGAGCCCGCGGCCUAUCAGCUUGUUGGUGGGGUAGUGGCCUACCAAGGCGACGACGGGUA
rnacentral:rRNA from 1 species